rnacentral:rRNA from 1 species
AUACCAGCACCCCGCGUGGUCGGGACGAUUAUUGGGCCUAAAGCAUCCGUAGCCGGUUCUACAAGUCUUCCGUUAAAUCCACCUGCUUAACAGAUGGGCUGCGGAGGAUACUAUGGAGCUAGGAGGCGGGAGAGGCAAGCGGUACUUAGUGGGUAGGGGUAAAAUCCGUUGAUCCAUUGAAGACCACCAGUGGCGAAGGCGGCUUGCCAGAACGCACUCGACGGUGAGGGAUGAAAGCUGGGGGAGCAAACCGGAUUAGAUACCCGGGUAGUCCCAGCUGUAAACGAUGCAGACUCGGUGAUGAAUAGGCUUCGUGCCUAUUCAGUGCCGCAGGGAAGCCGUUAAGUCUGCCGCCUGGGGAGUACGGUCGCAAGACUGAAACUUAAAGGAAUUGGCGGGG